rnacentral:sRNA from 1 species
GAUGUUUAUUCAGUUGCUUGUUUCAAGAGUCUGGAUCGUAGAUCCUUUCACUGUUCUGCAAGGAACCAUUGCAAAACAAUAACCAAGGAAUAAAUCCAUCAGGAAGAUGGUACAAAGGAUGAUUAGGUACAGGCAGGAACGCUAAAAACUAUCAGUAUAAUGAUUGAAUAAAGGAUAGCUGACAAGGAUGUAUUUUGUCAGGGAAAUCAGCAGGAAGCCCCCCAAGUAGCAGGAUUGCUAUGACAGCCACUCAAGAGGAGAGGGAAAAUCUCUCCUCUUACUUCACUU